AUUGAACGCUGGCGGCAGGCCUAACACAUGCAAGUCGAGCGGAUGAAGGGAGCUUGCUCCUGGAUUCAGCGGCGGACGGGUGAGUAAUGCCUAGGAAUCUGCCUGGUAGUGGGGGAUAACGUCCGGAAACGGGCGCUAAUACCGCAUACGUCCUGAGGGAGAAAGUGGGGGAUCUUCGGACCUCACGCUAUCAGAUGAGCCUAGGUCGGAUUAGCUAGUUGGUGGGGUAAAGGCCUACCAAGGCGACGAUCCGUAACUGGUCUGAGAGGAUGAUCAGUCAGCCGGUAAGUGAGGCAGGGUCGCGACACUUGGGCUGGGACGCGGUGGGGACUAUUGCACAAUGGGCGAAUGGCGGAUCUUGGCCAGUCGGGGGUGUGAAGAAGGUCCUCGGCUUGGUGAGCGCUUUAAGUUGUGAGGAAGGAAAGCACGUUUAUCCCUGGCUGUAUUGACGUUACCGACAGAAUAAGCUCCGGCUAACUUCGUG
rnacentral:rRNA from 1 species